UGUUGGGAGGCAAUGCCUUUCAGUGGAGCAGCUAACGUUUUAAGUUGUCCGCCUGGGGAGUACGGCCGCAAGGCUAAAACUCAAAUGAAUUGACGGGGACCCGCACAAGCAGUGGAUCAUGUGGUUUAAUUCGAUGCAACGCGAAAAACCUUACCUACUCUUGACAUACUUGGAAGCUCUUGUAAUGAGAGUGUGCUUUUAAGAACCAAGAUACAGGUGCUGCAUGGCUGUCGUCAGCUCGUGUCGUGAGAUGUUCCGUUAAGUCGGAUAACGAGCGCAACCCUUACCCUUAUUUGCCAGCGAUUCGGUCGGGAACUAUAAGGGGACUGCCGGUGAUAAACCGGAGGAAGGUGAGGACGACGCCAAGUCAUCAUGGCCCUUACGAGUAGGGCUACACACGUGAUACAAUGGGGAAUACAGACGGACGCUAAGCCGCGAGGUGGUGCUAAUCCUAAAAAGUUCUUCGUAGUCCGGAUUGGAGUCUGCAACUCGACUCCAUGAAGUUGGAAUUGCUAGUAAUCGCGGAUCAGCAUGCCGCGGUGAAUACGUUCUCGGGUCUUGUACACACCGCCCGUCACACCAUGGAAGUGGAUUGCACCAGAAGUAGAUAGUCUAACCUUAGGGAGGGCGUUUACCACGGUGUGCUUCAUGACUGGGGUG
rnacentral:rRNA from 1 species